GCCGCCGGGCGUGUUCAGGCUUGUUUGGCAUCCUUGCUGGACCCCGCGGGCGGCCCCUGCGGCGGCAGUGGCCACGGCCGCGGGAGGAGGAGCUGGCCCGGCCUGUGACACGUCGCACUGUGCGGCCGCAGCGGCUGGGCCUCGCCUGGGUCCAGACUGUGCGCCGCCCCCCCAGUCUCAGGAAGGGAGAGGCAGAAGAGGGGGCGCACACCGGGGUCCAGAGCAGGGCAGGCACCGAGGGGCCCUGGGUGCCGGAAGUAGCCUGUUUCCCCCCCAUGACUCUUACAACUUUUGGCUCCUGGCUGGAGAUGGGAUGACGCAUGGGGCUAAAGUGACACCGUCCGCGGAGGAUCACAGAUCGGAGUGGAACCUAGACAGUGCAAAGGGCUGUCGUGUCAGCAUGGACUCUCCCCUCUGCUCCUGUGACAGGAGUUCUGUCUGGUCCCCCCUGUCACCUCCACCACAACAGCUAUUAACCAGUACGGUCAUGCGUCAUGACCCUGAAGUCCCUGAGUUUUACAGAAUUUAGAUGUCUUUGUUUUAAGUCUAGGUGGAGGUGAGCCCAUAUUUUUACAACCUAAGAGAAGUGAGAAGGAAAAAGAUGACGGUAGGAGAGUCAGGAGGAGAAAGGAAUUCUCCAGUGCCAAUUUCUUUGCUAUUUUCUUGAUUUUCAAAUGUAGAUUGACCUGUUUAUAAAGAGUGGUUGCUGUAAACCAGACUAGA